UGUUUUGGUCCCAGGUAUAUUAUUAUUUCUCUAAAGUAUUACACAUGCCAGUCUCCGCAUUCCAGUGCCUAAAUACAAAACUGAAGAUCAGGUAUGAAAUGAUAUCAGGUACGCUACAUCAAGCAGCCAAUGACAUCUAGCACCGCCACACCCCCACGGAAUUCAGCAGUGAUAAACAUUAAGCCAUGAGCUAAAGCUCGACUUAGACAAAAUGAACUCGGACCGGUAAACUUCGUGCCAGCCACCGCGGUUAUACGAAGGGCCCAAGAUAAUACUAACGGCGUAAAGUGUGAUUAGAGAUAACCUAAUAGAUUAUAAAACCACAAACUAGUAGUGAAAUACUUAUACCUGUGAGACUACCCACUAAUAAUCUAUAUUUAAAAACCUUGACUCACGAACGCUGGAACACAAACUAGGAUUAGAUACCCUACUAUGCCAGCCGUAAAUUUAAGCAAAUAUGUACCAUUUUGCUCGCCAGAAAAUUACAAGCGAAAGCACAAAAUUCAAAGGACUUGACGGUGUUCCACAUCAGCCUAGAGGAGCCUGUCCUAUAAUCGACAAUCCACGUUAUACCUCACCCACUUUUGCCCAAACAGCCUAUAUACCGCCGUCGCAAGCUCAUCUAAUGAUAGAAUUAAAAUAAGCAAAAGUGUCCACCACCAAAACGUCAGGUCAAGGUGUAGCUAAUAAGUGGGUACGAGAUGGGCUACAUUUUUAAAAUUUAAAAAUUACAGCAAGAAACAUGAAAUAUGAACUAUAAAGGUGGAUUUAGCAGUAAAUAUGAGCAAGACGUGCCAUAUUGAACAUAGCUCUGGAACACGU
rnacentral:ncRNA from 1 species